rnacentral:lncRNA from 1 species
GGAGGAAAGGGAAAGAAUCUCAAGCAGACUUGAGCCCAGAGCGUGAAGCCCAAUGUGGGGCUCAUUCCCACAACCCUGAGAUCAUGACUUGAGCCAAAAUCAAGAGGUGGGUGCUCAACUGACUGAGCCAUCCAGGUGCCCCAAAGUACCUUAUUUUUAGUUAUUAAGACACCUUAUUGAAAGACACAUUUUUAAUAUUCAGCUUCUUGCUGUAUUCUGCAUAGUGGGAACAAUUAGAGAGCAUUGGGGAGAAAUGAUUAACUUUUAAUCAUAAAACGGACCAAAGCAUUUGAGUCUAUGAAGUAACAUUAAGACACUAAGAAAAGCACCAUUAGUGAUAUGGUUGUCUUUUUUUGUGUCAGUGUCUGAACUGAAUAGGACCAUGUUAGAGAUAAUACUUAACUUUGGCAAAGAAACUAACCCAGCAUUAUUGGAUUAAAAUCUAGCUCUUUUACAUGAAAGUUGUAACUCCUUGUAAAAGCUGAAAGAAGAAAUUGCUGCCUUGACAAUUUUACUAUAUAUAGCCCAAUUCUGGGGUUCCAAUGAUAAAUGAAAUUUCAGAAUACCUCAUCAAUUUCAGAACCACAGGAUCCUUCCAAGUCCUAGAGUGUUUUCCAGUCUGAAGUACUCCUUACACUGCUGCCAGUUACCGUGGUUUGCCAUUGCUCAGCCAGGUUCCCUCUCCCUCCUUUGUUUUCAGGGAAUUCUUGAAGCUGCUUAAAGCAUCUUUUAAUUCUUUAUCUGCUUCUGGAUGGAGAACUCAUUUAUCUCUGUGAUGAUCCCAAGGGAGAAUGGAAUUAUUCCUACUUUAUCCCAAACAGCCAGUCUUCUUGAUGCUGCAGAGGAAAAGAUUCAAACCCCCUAUCCAAGGACAUGCUUGAAGAGCCGGUUCACUGGUUGUGUGGACAUGGACUUGUGAUUCACCCCAUGUCUUUUACAUCAUAGAACCUGUUAAGCCAAAGCCACAUCUAGGGUAGGUUGUACUUUUAAAUUUUGACACUGUGCCUUUAAUUUUCUCAGAGACAGUGCCAAGAUCUUCCAUUAUUAUAGAGUUGCUUUAUUAUAUAAUAUUUUUGUCUGAUAUUCUGAAACAUUUCAGAAGAAGCAUGGGAUAAGCUUUUUUUGUUGUUGUUAGUAAGAUAAACCUUUGUAGUAAAAUAAUUUGAAAUUUUAUAACUUCUCUAUCACAAUUCUUUUCUUCAUUAACAAGGUAUAUUUUGGGAUGUAUAUAUUAUGAGUAACCUAUAUCACCAGACACAAAUGAGUUAGAGAUUGCCAUAUUAUGAGGCUGGCGGUUGAAUAAAAAAAUAAAAAGAAAUAUCAGACAAUAGGUUAUCACAUUUGUAGCAUUAAAUCAUUGAAGAUAAAAAAAAUCAGCUAGUUAAUGUCAUUAGAAGUAAUAUGGCAUUCAAAGAAGCAUUCAAAAUAUAUUAUUGGGAUACAUGUCAGUCAGAGAUAUAUAUGUUAUUAUCAUGGUUUUUGCAAUUGAUU